rnacentral:rRNA from 1 species
GACGAACGUUGGCGGCGUGCUUAAUACAUGCAAGUCGACUGAAGCAGUGGUAGCAAUAUCGCUGUGGAGGUGGCGCACGUGGGAGUAACCCGUAGGUAAUCUGCCUUCAGGUCUGGCAUAACUCCGGGAAACCGGGGCUAAUAGCAGAUGAUGCAGCGGCUCGACAUCGAGACAGUUGUUAAAGCUAUGGCGCCUGAAGAUGAGCCUGCGUCUGAUUAGCUAGUUGGCGGGGUAACGGCCCACCAAGGCAACGAUCAGUAGCUGGUCUGAGAGGAUGAUCAGCCACACUGGAGCUGAGACACGGUCCAGACGCCUACGGGAGGCAGCAGUAAGGAAUAUUGCCCAAUGGGAGAAAUCCUGAAGCAGCAACGCCGCGUGAGGGACGAAGGGCUUUUGCUUGUAAACCUCUGUAGUGAGAGAAAAAAAUCCCAAUCUUUGGGACAUGAUGGUAUCUCAAAAGUAGGCCUCGGCUAACUACGU